rnacentral:rRNA from 1 species
UACGAAGGGGGCUAGCGUUGUUCGGAUUUACUGGGCGUAAAGCGCACGUAGGCGGCUCUUUAAGUCAGAGGUGAAAUCCCAAGGCUCAACCUUGGAACUGCCUUUGAUACUGGGGAGCUCGAGUUCGGGAGAGGUGAGUGGAACUGCGAGUGUAGAGGUGAAAUUCGUAGAUAUUCGCAAGAACACCAGUGGCGAAGGCGGCUCACUGGCCCGAUACUGACGCUGAGGUGCGAAAGCGUGGGGAGCAAACAGG